AAAGGCCGAUUCACACAACAAAACUUUUGCCUAAUGCUGCAUGUUGUAUGCAACGUACUUAUAUAUACCCUACUUUAUACAACUUGAGUUUGUACUGUUUAGAUCAAGCACACAACUCAUCUAUGACAACGUAGGUGAGAUUGUGUGCUUGAUUUAGGCAGUGCAAAUCAAGUAGUAAGCAGGUUGCAUGCGACAGUUUUGGGCAAAAGUUGUGAAGUGUCAAUUGGCCUUAACAAAGCCGAAUACCUUGAAAUAUCGAAGUAUCUUUGAAUCAAUCCCGACAUAAACCUCGGUAAACAAAGGUCUUCAUUCCGUUAAGCAUACAAAAUCCUCGAUGUGUACAUAGUUACCCUGCAUACAGGCACUAUAAAUCCCUGUCUGUCUCGGGUAAAACCUGAACUAAGUCUGACAUUUAUCUGUUGUUGAAUACGCGCUACCUUAAGCGAGAUUCUAAAUGAGAAUUUUAUAGGCACACAGUAAAGUGAUUUAUAUUCAAAAUUAUGCUAGUUUGUGGACUUAGGAAAGGUGAUUUAGUCCGGCUUUAAGAACAGACCAUAUGUCAUUGUCAAUUAAUCGCUUGUGCUCAUGCAUUCAUAUACAAGAAUGCUUGUAACUUUAGUGACUGAAUGAACCGGUAAUUUUUUCAAUGGCAUUUGGAAUUUUGAUGUUUGGCUGGUUACAUACAACCAAUUUUAACUUCGAUGGACAUAAUAUCUGUUCAUAUUAAAAAACAGAAAAAGUU